GUCGGCAGCCAUAUCACCUGCAGUUCAGACUAGGCAAUCUGUCUGAAGCUGAGCCAGUUUGGGUCUGGCCAGUACUUGGAUUGGAGACCAACUAGGAAAGCUGACUCACUGCUGGAA
rnacentral:rRNA from 1 species